rnacentral:tRNA from 1 species
UUGAGAGAGACAUAGUGGUUAUGGUGUUGGCUUGAAACCCAAUAACCAGGGGGUUCGAUUCCCUUCCUUUCUUA